rnacentral:rRNA from 1 species
GAUGAACGCUGGCGGCGUGCCUAAUACAUGCAAGUCGAGCGAACGGACGAGAAGCUUGCUUCUCUGAUGUUAGCGGCGGACGGGUGAGUAACACGUGGAUAACCUACCUAUAAGACUGGGAUAACUUCGGGAAACCGGAGCUAAUACCGGAUAAUAUUUUGAACCGCAUGGUACAAAAGUGAAAGACGGUCUUGCUGUCACUUAUAGAUGGAUCCGCGCUGCAUUAGCUAGUUGGUAAGGUAACGGCUUACCAAGGCAACGAUGCAUAGCCGACCUGAGAGGGUGAUCGGCCACACUGGAACUGAGACACGGUACAGACUCCUACGGGAGGCAGCAGUAGGGAAUCUUCCGCAAUGGGCGAAAGCCUGACGGAGCAACGCCGCGUGAGUGAUGAAGGUCUUCGGAUCGUAAAACUCUGUUAUUAGGGAAGAACAUAUGUGUAAGUAACUGUGCACAUCUUGACGGUACCUAAUCAGAGAGCCACGGCUAACUACGUG